AGCAGUAGCCGCGGGAAAACGUAGGUGGCAAGCGUUGUCCGGAAUUAUUGGGCGUAAAGGGCUCGCAGGCGGUUUCUUAAGUCUGAUGUGAAAGCCCCCGGCUCAACCGGGGAGGGUCAUUGGAAACUGGGAAACUUGAGAGCAGAAGAGGAGAGUGGAAUUCCACGUGUAGCGGUGAAAUGCGUAGAGAUGUGGAGGAACACCAGUGGCGAAGGCGACUCUCUGGUCUGUAACUGACGCUGAGGAGCGAAAGCGUGGGGAGCGAACAGGAUUAGAUACCCCUGUAGUCCCUGUCUCUUAUAC
rnacentral:rRNA from 1 species